UAUCCUGUCUGAAUAUGGGGGGACCAUCCUCCAAGGCUAAAUACUCCUGACUGACCGAUAGUGAACCAGUACCGUGAGGGAAAGGCGAAAAGAACCCCGGCGAGGGGAGUGAAAAAGAACCUGAAACCGUGUACGUACAAGCAGUGGGAGCACGCUUAGGCGUGUGACUGCGUACCUUUUGUAUAAUGGGUCAGCGACUUAUAUUCUGUAGCAAGGUUAACCGAAUAGGGGAGCCGAAGGGAAACCGAGUCUUAACUGGGCGUUAAGUUGCAGGGUAUAGACCCGAAACCCGGUGAUCUAGCCAUGGGCAGGUUGAAGGUUGGGUAACACUAACUGGAGGACCGAACCGACUAAUGUUGAAAAAUUAGCGGAUGACUUGUGGCUGGGGGUGAAAGGCCAAUCAAACCGGGAGAUAGCUGGUUCUCCCCGAAAGCUAUUUAGGUAGCGCCUCGUGAAUUCAUCUCCGGGGGUAGAGCACUGUUUCGGCAAGGGGGUCAUCCCGACUUACCAACCCGAUGCAAACUGCGAAUACCGGAGAAUGUUAUCACGGGAGACACACGGCGGGUGCUAACGUCCGUCGUGAAGAGGGAAACAACCCAGACCGCCAGCUAAGGUCCCAAAGUCAUGGUUAAGUGGGAAACGAUGUGGGAAGGCCCAGACAGCCAGGAUGUUGGCUUAGAAGCAGCCAUCAUUUAAAGAAAGCGUAAUAGCUCACUGGUCGAGUCGGCCUGCGCGGAAGAUGUAACGGGGCUAAACCAUGCACCGAAGCUGCGGCAGCGACGCUUAUGCGUUGUUGGGUAGGGGAGCGUUCUGUAAGCCUGUGAAGGUGUACUGUGAGGUAUGCUGGAGGUAUCAGAAGUGCGAAUGCUGACAUAAGUAACGAUAAAGCGGGUGAAAAGCCCGCUCGCCGGAAGACCAAGGGUUCCUGUCCAACGUUAAUCGGGGCAGGGUGAGUCGACCCCUAAGGCGAGGCCGAAAGGCGUAGUCGAUGGGAAACAGGUUAAUAUUCCUGUACUUGGUGUUACUGCGAAGGGGGGACGGAGAAGGCUAUGUUGGCCGGGCGACGGUUGUCCCGGUUUAAGCGUGUAGGCUGGUUUUCCAGGCAAAUCCGGAAAAUCAAGGCUGAGGCGUGAUGACGAGGCACUACGGUGCUGAAGCAACAAAUGCCCUGCUUCCAGGAAAAGCCUCUAAGCAUCAGGUAACAUCAAAUCGUACCCCAAACCGACACAGGUGGUCAGGUAGAGAAUACCAAGGCGCUUGAGAGAACUCGGGUGAAGGAACUAGGCAAAAUGGUGCCGUAACUUCGGGAGAAGGCACGCUGAUAUGUAGGUGAAGUCCCUCGCGGAUGGAGCUGAAAUCAGUCGAAGAUACCAGCUGGCUGCAACUGUUUAUUAAAAACACAGCACUGUGCAAACACGAAAGUGGACGUAUACGGUGUGACGCCUGCCCGGUGCCGGAAGGUUAAUUGAUGGGG
rnacentral:rRNA from 1 species